CCUACGGGUGGCAGCAGUGGGGAAUAUUGGGCAAUGGGCGCAAGCCUGACCCAGCAACGCCGCGUGAAGGAAGAAGGCUUUCGGGUUGUAAACUUCUUUUGACAGGGAAGAGUAGAGUGCGGUAACUGUCGGAUAAGCCACGGCUAACUACGGGCCAGCAGCCGCGGUAAUACGUAGGGGGCAAGCGUUAUCCGGAUUUACUGGGUGUAAAGGGAGCGUAGACGGGAGUGCAAGUCUGGAGUGAAAGGCGGGGGCUCAACCCCCGGACUGCUCUUGAAACUGUAGGGCUGGAGUGCAGGAGAGGGAAGUGGAAUUCCGAGUGUAGCGGUGAAAUGCGUAGAUAUUAGGAGGAACACCAGUGGCGAAGGCGGCUUACUGGACUGUAACUGACGUUGAGGCGCGAAAGCGUGGGGAGCAAACAGGAUUAGAUACCCCGGUAGUC
rnacentral:rRNA from 1 species